UACGUAGGUGGCGAGCGUUAUCCGGACUUACUGGGUGUAAAGGGCGUGUAGGCGGGACUGCAAGUCAGAUGUGAAACCCAUGGGCUCAACCCAUGGCCUGCAUUUGAAACUGUAGUUCUUGAGUGAUGGAGAGGCAGGCGGAAUUCCGUGUGUAGCGGUGAAAUGCGUAGAUAUACGGAGGAACACCAGUGGCGAAGGCGGCCUGCUGGACAUUAACUGACGCUGAGGCGCGAAAGCGUGGGGAGCAAACAGG
rnacentral:rRNA from 1 species